GAGAUUAUACUUUCAGGGAUCAUUUCUGUAGUAUGUAACUAGAGGAGUGUUUCUGAAUGUGUAGGGUACUGGAAAUCAUGAUGCUGGGCAGCAGCUUUUUCUCCUGAGCAGGAGGCUGGCUUGUGGUGUUGCCUGGUUGCAGCAGCCAUUUCUUCUCAAUGACUGUUCUCAGUUUUCCUUUGGGAAGGUGAGAGGGAAAGAACACAAGCUGAG